UGGGAUAGGGAUGUUCGGUAUUCCUGGGAUCUGUGGGAUAGGGAUGUUCGGUAUUCCUGGGAUCUGUGGGAUAGGGAUGUUCGGUAUCCCUGGGAUCUGUGGGAUAGGGAUGUUCGGUAUCCCUGGGAUCUGUGGGAUAGGGAUGUUCGGUAUCCCUGGGAUCUGUGGGAUAGGGAUGUUCGGUAUCCCUGGGAUCUGUGGGAUAGGGAUGUUCGGUAUCGCUGGAAUCUGUGGGAUAGGGAUUUGAGGGAUGUUUGGUAUCCCGGGAAUGUUGGGGAUAGUGGGGAACGAGCCAGGGGGUGAAGGAGGAGAGUUUGGAUCGGAUGACUCGGAGCAAGCCCAAGAAACCUUAGAGUCACCGAACUUUCCAUUG
rnacentral:lncRNA from 1 species